rnacentral:snoRNA from 1 species
ACCCUGCAGGUUCCUUACCCCUUGGAUCGGAACCUCAGUCGGAGUGGCUGAAAAAGGAGGGACAUGGAAUUGAAGUGGACUUGGAGCCUUUUGAGACAGACAGUUCACUUUAAACAACA